rnacentral:rRNA from 1 species
AAGGGCGCGUAGGCGGCGUUUUAAGUCGGGGGUGAAAGCCUGUGGCUCAACCACAGAAUGGCCUUCGAUACUGGGACGCUUGAGUAUGGUAGAGGUUGGUGGAACUGCGAGUGUAGAGGUGAAAUUCGUAGAUAUUCGCAAGAACACCGGUGGCGAAGGCGGCCAACUGGACCAUUACUGACGCUGAGGCGCGAAAGCGUGGGGAGCAAACAAGGAUUAGAUACCCCAGU